rnacentral:rRNA from 1 species
AACGAACGCUGGCGGCAUGCCUAACACAUGCAAGUCGAACGAGACCUUCGGGUCUAGUGGCGCACGGGUGCGUAACGCGUGGGAACCUGCCCUUAGGUUCGGAAUAACUCCCCGAAAGGGGUGCUAAUACCGGAUAAUGUCUUCGGACCAAAGAUUUAUCGCCUUUGGAUGGGCCCGCGUUGGAUUAGCUAGUUGGUAGGGUAAAAGCCUACCAAGGCGACGAUCCAUAGCUGGUCUGAGAGGAUGAUCAGCCACACUGGGACUGAGACACGGCCCAGACUCUUACGGGAGGCAGGAGUGGGGAAUAGUGGACAAUGGGGGAAAGCAUGAUGCAGCAAGGCCGCGUGAGUGAUGAAGGCCGGAGGGUUGUAAAGCUCUUUUACCCGGGAUGAUAAUGACGGUACCGGGAGAAUAAGCUCCGGCUAACUCCGUG